AAAAAGAAGAAGAAAAAAUUGGCUUCUUGCCUUCAAGUUCUGUCGAUCCUUAUCCAUCUGCUUUCGUCUCAUUCAACUUUCAAACUUUUGCAGCCGCGCAAUUUUCUUUCUUUUAACUCAUUCAGUCCCAGUGGAAAAAGAGGUCCCGAGUUUUACGUUUGCGGCUGGUGUUGCAACAAUGGUUUGUAACACGAACAAGAGCAACAAGAAGGAGAAAGACCUUGAGUUUUUCUUCGAGGAUGAUUUCAACGAAAGUGCACAACAAGAUAUUGAAAGUGCAAAGUUAACGAUAGAGAGUGAAAGUAGCAGUGAUGAUGACGAG